rnacentral:rRNA from 1 species
AGAGUUUGAUCCUGGCUCAGAUUGAACGCUGGCGGCAGGCCUAACACAUGCAAGUCGAGCGGGGUUUUCGGACCUAGCGGCGGACGGGUGAGUAAUGCGUAGGAAGCUACCCGAUAGAGGGGGAUACCAGUUGGAAACGACUGUUAAUACCGCAUAAUGUCUACGGACCAAAGUGUGGGACCUUCGGGCCACAUGCUAUCGGAUGCGCCUACGUGGGAUUAGCUAGUUGGUGGGGUAAUGGCUCACCAAGGCGACGAUCCCUAACUGGUUUGAGAGGAUGAUCAGCCACACUGGAACUGAGACACGGUCCAGACUCCUACGGGAGGCAGCAGUGGGGAAUAUUGGACAAUGGGCGCAAGCCUGAUCCAGCCAUGCCGCGUGUGUGAAGAAGGCCAUCGGGUUGUAAAGCACUUUCAGCGAGGAGGAAGGGUUAGUAGUUAAUAGCUGCUAAUUUUGACGUUACUCUCACAAGAAGCACCGGCUAACUCUGUGCCAGCAGCCGCGGUAAUACAGAGGGUGCAAGCGUUAAUCGGAAUUACUGGGCGUAAAGCGCACGUAGGCGGUUUUUUAAGU